CAUUGUGGGAAGGGCGGCCGGUGCAGCCGCGGCUGCCAUCUUAGCAACUCCUGCUGUUGCGGCCUUGUCGUUGGAGGCGGCCUUCGUGGCGGCCGUCGACCUCAGGGAGCAGUAGAAAGUCAGCUGGCUGACAGCCGUCCUGUCCCCGGCCUCGACAGGACGGCCAGCCCGCGUCCGGAGGCGGAGGCGAGGGCAGCUGGGCGCGUGAGGGGCCCGAGGCCAGCGGUUAGUCACAGCGUCGCCCGGAAGGAUGGGCCGGUCUCGGAGCCGGAGCUCGUCCCGCUCCAAGCACACCAAGAGCAGCAAACACAACAAGAAGCGGAGCCGGUCCCGGUCGCGGUCCCGGGACAAGGAGCGUGUGCGCAAGCGCUCCAAAUCCCGGGAAAGUAAGCGGAACCGGCGGCGGGAGUCGCGGUCCCGCUCGCGCUCCACCAACACGGCCGUGUCCCGGCGCGAGCGGGACCGGGAGCGCGCCUCGUCUCCGCCCGACCGCAUCGACAUCUUCGGGCGCACGGUGAGCAAGCGCAGCAGCCUGGACGAGAAGCAGAAGCGAGAGGAGGAGGAGAAGAAAGCCGAGUUCGAGCGGCAGCGAAAAAUUCGGCAGCAGGAAAUAGAAGAAAAACUCAUCGAAGAAGAAACAGCACGAAGAGUAGAAGAAUUGGUGGCAAAAAGAGUAGAAGAAGAAUUAGAGAAAAGGAAGGAUGAAAUUGAACGAGAAGUUCUCCGAAGGGUGGAGGAAGCCAAGCGCAUCAUGGAAAAGCAGUUGCUCGAAGAACUCGAGCGACAGAGACAAGCUGAGCUUGCAGCACAAAAAGCCAGAGAGAGGAAGCUGGCGCGUAUGGCAGCCGAGGAGCACACUCUGCAGGACACUGGACAAGACAGUAAAUAUUCAACUUUUAAUGCUGAUUAAAGGAGUAUAGGUAAAGAAUACGUAGGUAUACAUAAUUGGUGAGACAAAUAUUCACUUUAUUUAUAUUUUAUAUAUUAUUUUUUUAAUUUGGUAAAUACUAUCCAGUUUGUAGUUGUCCUUGUUGAUUUGUGUGAUAUUAAAGUAUUAGUAAUAAUUACCAGGAAACUAUCAUUAGGGAGGGAUUAGUCGGUUGCUGUUUGGACUGGGAGGGAUGAUUUAAAUUUAGUGCUAGAAACAAAUUUUAGUGGCUGCACAGUUUAUCGUUUGUCAGACAGAAGGUAGCUGUAAAGCUACCCUGUAAGUCAGAUCAAAAGAGUUCAGAGGAAGAUUAGUGAAGAUUUAUCAGUAAAAGUAAACAUUUUAUUUUUCUAACAUCUUAACAUGUCCUCCCCUUUAGGAGGAAGAACGUGCAAAACGUGAGGAGCUAGAGCGAAUACUGGAAGAGAAUAACCGAAAAAUUGCAGAAGCACAAGCCAAACUGGCUGAAGAACAGUUGAGAAUUGUUGAAGAACAAAGAAAGAUUCAUGAGGAAAGGAUGAAACUAGAACAAGAGCGACAACGUCAACAAAAAGAAGAACAAAAAAUUAUCCUGGGCAAGGGGAAGUCCAGGCCAAAACUGUCCUUCUCAUUAAAAACCCAGGAUUAAAUUGCAAACUCUGAACUUUUUACAAAGAAAAAUGGAAAAACUUUGUAUGGUAGCUUCAUGUUGAAGUGGUUUUUUUUUGUUUUGUUUUUGUUUUUUUAAUUUGGAAAAUCUGGAAAGUUAGCUUGUUCUAAUAGGGGCUAUGCUCUGCAAUUCCUUUUUUUCCCCCUUAACUUUCAUUAAGUCAAAUCCUUAUCAGAUCAUUGUUGUCUUCUAAAAGUGAUAUAUUUUUCACCUGUUUGGAUUCCGUAUUAGUGGUCUGAGGAAGAGCAGAUCACUUUGUAAACUACGGAUGGUCUGAUAAGGUUUUUACUGACCCACUGACUUCAGAGUUAUACUCUGUUUAUUACAUCAUAAUGCUGGUUCUGCUGACUUUUUGUUUUUUUAUAUAUUUAUAAAAAAAGAAAAAGUUGGUAAUUGCAUUGGAAGCUCCCAGAGUGUUACUGGACCCAUGUGGUGUAUUGUUAAACCAGUGUCCUCAAGAUACUGUUGCUCUUGAUGUUCCUGAUACAGGUAAGGAAACAGUUGGUCAGCUGUGAUACAAAAUAUAUAUACAGUCAGUAUUGUCUCUGUUCAGUUUGUUUUUAUUUCAUUGACAAAAUCAAACCAGCAUUCCCCAUUGUGUAAAUAAAUGAUUUUGCUGAAUAAAGUCAAGUCUUAAAUUCCUA